CCAGACGUCAAAGGCCCGCCCCUUUUUACCACCCUGACAAUUGCCAUCGCCGCAGAGUCUCCCCCUCCCUGUGCGGCAUUGGCCUCCCGCUGGCUGGAUGUGCGUCCAGUGCAGUCCCCGGGGAUCACUAUGUAGCAGGGGAGCGGCUGUCAAUUGGCUACAUUGAUAAGAACUCUCCUGCUUUGCCUACGUAAUUUUUAGCCUACGACUUCUUCAUGUGCCCGUCUAAUCAGCACCACUGGUCCCGCGGUUAACGUGGCCUGCAGCUAGCUUGUCGUAGCCUACG